CUAAUUCACCAGUGUCAUUUUUCAAACAUCAUCUAUACGUACAGUGUGUACAGGCUCUUCAGUAGUGAGUGGACAACAAACAGGGAUACGGGACAGUGAAUGCUAAAUGGCGAGGGAAGAACAAAUUAUUUCAAGCACCUGACUGUCAGGGUCAUUACUGCAAUACAUCUCAGCGAAGACCAAAAGGAAGGAGUGGGAGGCUGAUACUAAAGUGAUUUAUCCAGCAUCUACAGAUGUUUCACCAAGAAUCACAGAAAGGCCUCAAAUCAGCAUCCUUGUCCGUACUGCACAGCCAAGACAGAUUGCACUUUUCCUUUUCUACUUGUAUAACAGGUGAGUAAUAUACAAGAGACCCAAUUCAGUCUCUACCUGUCCUGACUUGCAAAAAAACAGCAGUGGCCCAUUUCCUAAAAUUUCUGUAAGUAGUGGGUGUGGACUAUAUAGUCUAUCUCUCGUAUCUUCCAACUUGUAGUCCAGUUCAUAUUUAAAAAGAUUCAAGCCAAGAAAGACAGAAGGGGACUUGAAAUC
rnacentral:lncRNA from 1 species